CGUUGAUUCACUUCAGCUCUCUCUUACGCUGCCAGUCUCUAUAUGUUCUCAUUGAGCCUCACACAUUUGGUUCAAACAGGUGGUGGGGAACCUUGAGCCACUUCACAUAGUGUCCACCUCACUUCCAAGACCUCUGCCUCCAUCUUCCCUCUCACCUAGGCAGUAGACUCUCUCCUUCAGGUUUGCCUCAAGUUCUUUGAGAACUGUGUAGUCCUCAAACACGUCAACAUUGUUGAGCAGGUCCUUCAGCAGACUGGUGAACAAGCCCACACAGGAAGACUGAGGUGGACAAAUCACAGGACAUCGUUAACAGGGUGCAUGCCUCCUGAAUCGAACUCAACUCGAGUUAAGAUGGUGCUCCACUGUGAUGGGAGAUUUUUAAAGCUGUAGUGAUGUUGUCAGCCAUUUUCCUUCAGUGCUUUCAGUGUAAUGGUCAGUCCUCCAGCAUCACAGAGCUGAAACUCGUCCACUCCAUCAUCAUGUGGCUGCUGAUGAGCCAAAGCUGGGGCUGGUUCUGCUUCAUCCCCAUCAUCUUCCCUCUCCUCAUCUUCCUCAAAGUCAUCUGGAUAGUCAGCUUGUUCUGAAAUGUCAGGAACCUCCUGAAAGGCUGAGAGAGAAAGAGCCUGCUGAGUGAUUGCCACUGUCAAACCAGAAAAAAAGAUACCAAGACUGAAGGCUUUUGUGGUUGAUCAUAAAACAGUUUUUAGAAGAAACAUAUUGACAAACUACCAAAUGUUGAUAAAAGGGCACAAAUGUGAAUAACAAAAUAAUAAAUAGGCUUGUGGCCUACACACGGAUACUACAGAGCCCCUUAAGUCCCAAACGGGGAUAUUUUUCAUCCCCUGCACCAAAGAUAUUUUACUAGAAAUUUUGCAACUUCAGAUGCACACAGUUACUGUGAUGGAGAGCACUCAGCAAAUCAAGUUUUAUUAUUACCUUGAAACAAAGUUAUUUAUCUUGUGAUAAGGAUAAAAAAAUAAAAAAUUUAAAGUGA